rnacentral:rRNA from 1 species
GCCGCGUGUGUGAAGAAGGCCUUCGGGUUGUAAAGCACUUUCAGCGGGGAGGAAGGCGUUAAGGUUAAUAACCUUAGCGAUUGACGUUACCCGCAGAAGAAGCACCGGCUAACUCCGUGCCAGCAGCCGCGGUAAUACGGAGGGUGCAAGCGUUAAUCGGAAUUACUGGGCGUAAAGCGCACGCAGGCGGUCUGUCAAGUCGGAUGUGAAAUCCCCGGGCUCAACCUGGGAACUGCAUUCGAAACUGGCAGGCUAGAGUCUUGUAGAGGGGGGUAGAAUUCCAGGUGUAGCGGUGAAAUGCGUAGAGAUCUGGAGGAAUACCGGUGGCGAA